GGGCGACACACGUGCUACAAUGGCCGGCACAGCGGGAAGCGAGGGGGCGACCUUGAGCGGAUCCCUCAAAGCCGGUCUCAGUUCGGAUUGCAGUCUGCAACUCGACUGCAUGAAGUUGGAAUCGCUAGUAAUCGUGGAUCAGCCAAGCCGCGGUGAAUACGUUCCCGGGCCUU
rnacentral:rRNA from 1 species